UACAGAGGUCCCGAGCGUUGUUCGGAUUCAUUGGGCGUAAAGGGUGCGUAGGCGGCCGCGCAAGUCUGGCGUGAAAGCCCCGGGCUCAGCCCGGGAAGGGCGCUCGAAACGGCGCGGCUCGAGUGCCGGAGGGGAGAGUGGAAUUCCUGGUGUAGCGGUGAAAUGCGUAGAUAUCAGGAGGAAUACCGGUGGCGAAAGCGACUCUCUGGACGGCAACUGACGCUGAGGCACGAAAGCGUGGGGAGCAAACAGG
rnacentral:rRNA from 1 species